rnacentral:snRNA from 1 species
AAAAAUUAAAAAAAAUAAAAAUAAAAUCUGUUCUUAUCAGUUUAAUAUCUGAUACGUCCCCUAUCUGGGGACCAUAUAUUAAAUGGAUUUUUGGGACAGGGAGAUGGAAGAAGAGCUUGCUCUGUCCACUCCACGCAUUGACCUGGUAUUGCAGUACCUCCAGGACCGGUGCACCUCUC